CACUAUCGUUAACUGAAUACAUAGGUUAACGAGGCGAACCGGGGGAACUGAAACAUCUAAGUACCCCGAGGAAAAGAAAUCAACCGAGAUUCCCCCAGUAGCGGCGAGCGAACGGGGAGCAGCCCAGAGUCUGAAUCAGCUUGUGUGUUAGUGGAACGGUCUGGAAAGUCCGACGGUACAGGGUGAUAGUCCCGUACACCAAAAUGCACAGGUUGUGAACUCGAAGAGUAGGGCGGGACACGUGGUAUCCUGUCUGAAUAUGGGGGGACCAUCCUCCAAGGCUAAAUACUCCUGACUGACCGAUAGUGAACCAGUACCGUGAGGGAAAGGCGAAAAGAACCCCGGCGAGGGGAGUGAAAAAGAACCUGAAACCGUGUACGUACAAGCAGUGGGAGCACCUUCGGGUGUGACUGCGUACCUUUUGUAUAAUGGGUCAGCGACUUAUAUUCUGUAGCAAGGUUAACCGUAUAGGGGAGCCGCAGGGAAACCGAGUCUUAACUGGGCGUUAAGUUGCAGGGUAUAGACCCGAAACCCGGUGAUCUAGCCAUGGGCAGGUUGAAGGUUGGGUAACACUAACUGGAGGACCGAACCGACUAAUGUUGAAAAAUUAGCGGAUGACUUGUGGCUGGGGGUGAAAGGCCAAUCAAACCGGGAGAUAGCUGGUUCUCCCCGAAAGCUAUUUAGGUAGCGCCUCGUGAAUUCAUCUUCGGGGGUAGAGCACUGUUUCGGCUAGGGGGUCAUCCCGACUUACCAACCCGAUGCAAACUACGAAUACCGAAGAAUGUUAUCACGGGAGACACACGGCGGGUGCUAACGUCCGUCGUGAAGAGGGAAACAACCCAGACCGCCAGCUAAGGUCCCAAAGUCAUGGUUAAGUGGGAAACGAUGUGGGAAGGCACAGACAGCCAGGAUGUUGGCUUAGAAGCAGCCAUCAUUUAAAGAAAGCGUAAUAGCUCACUGGUCGAGUCGGCCUGCGCGGAAGAUGUAACGGGGCUAAACCAUGCACCGAAGCUGCGGCAGCGACACUAUGUGUUGUUGGGUAGGGGAGCGUUCUGUAAGCCUGCGAAGGUGNUGCUGGAGGUAUCAGAAGUGCGAAUGCUGACAUAAGUAACGAUAAAGCGGGUGAAAAGCCCGCUCGCCGGAAGACCAAGGGUUCCUGUCCAACGUUAAUCGGGGCAGGGUGAGUCGACCCCUAAGGCGAGGCCGAAAGGCGUAGUCGAUGGGAAACAGGUUAAUAUUCCUGUACUUGGUGUUACUGCGAAGGGGGGACGGAGAAGGCUAUGUUAGCCGGGCGACGGUUGUCCCGGUUUAAGCAUGUAGGCUGGUUAUCCAGGCAAAUCCGGAUAAUCAAGGCUGAGGUGUGAUGACGAGGCACUACGGUGCUGAAGUAACAAAUGCCCUGCUUCCAGGAAAAGCCUCUAAGCAUCAGGUAACAUCAAAUCGUACCCCAAACCGACACAGGUGGUCAGGUAGAGAAUACCAAGGCGCUUGAGAGAACUCGGGUGAAGGAACUAGGCAAAAUGGUGCCGUAACUUCGGGAGAAGGCACGCUGGUGUGUAGGUGAAGUCCCUGCGGAUGGAGCUGAGACCAGUCGAAGAUACCAGCUGGCUGCAACUGUUUAUUAAAAACACAGCACUGUGCAAACACGAAAGUGGACGUAUACGGUGUGACGCCUGCCCGGUGCCGGAAGGUUAAUUGAUGGGGUUAUCCGUAAGGAGAAGCUCUUGAUCGAAGCCCCGGUAAACGGCGGCCGUAACUAUAACGGUCCUAAGGUAGCGAAAUUCCUUGUCGGGUAAGUUCCGACCUGCACGAAUGGCGUAAUGAUGGCCAGGCUGUCUCCACCCGAGACUCAGUGAAAUUGAACUCGCUGUGAAGAUGCAGUGUACCCGCGGCAAGACGGAAAGACCCCGUGAACCUUUACUAUAGCUUGACACUGAACAUUGAGCCUUGAUGUGUAGGAUAGGUGGGAGGCUUUGAAGCGUGGACGCCAGUCUGCGUGGAGCCAACCUUGAAAUACCACCCUUUAAUGUUUGAUGUUCUAACGUUGGCCCCUUACCGGGGUUGCGGACAGUGUCUGGUGGGUAGUUUGACUGGGGCGGUCUCCUCCCAAAGCGUAACGGAGGAGCACGAAGGUUAGCUAAUCCUGGUCGGACAUCAGGAGGUUAGUGCAAUGGCAUAAGCUAGCUUGACUGCGAGCGUGACGGCGCGAGCAGGUGCGAAAGCAGGUCAUAGUGAUCCGGUGGUUCUGAAUGGAAGGGCCAUCGCUCAACGGAUAAAAGGUACUCCGGGGAUAACAGGCUGAUACCGCCCAAGAGUUCAUAUCGACGGCGGUGUUUGGCACCUCGAUGUCGGCUCAUCACAUCCUGGGGCUGAAGUAGGUCCCAAGGGUAUGGCUGUUCGCCAUUUAAAGUGGUACGCGAGCUGGGUUUAGAACGUCGUGAGACAGUUCGGUCCCUAUCUGCCGUGGGCGCUGGAGAAUUGAGGGGGGCUGCUCCUAGUACGAGAGGACCGGAGUGGACGCAUCACUGGUGUUCGGGUUGUCAUGCCAAUGGCACUGCCCGGUAGCUAAAUGCGGAAGAGAUAAGUGCUGAAAGCAUCUAAGCACGAAACUUGCCCCGAGAUGAGUUCUCCCUGAGACUUUAAGUCUCCUGAAGGAACGUUGAAGACGACGACGUUGAUAGGCCGGGUGUGUAAGCGCAGCGAUGCGUUGAGCUAACCGGUACUAAUGAACCGUGAGGCUUAACCUU
rnacentral:rRNA from 2 species